UGAGACGUGCUUUUGUUGGUUAUUGUCUUC
rnacentral:piRNA from 1 species